rnacentral:rRNA from 1 species
GACGAACGCUGGCGGCGUGCUUAACACAUGCAAGUCGAACGGAAAGGCCCUGCUUUUGUGGGGUGCUCGAGUGGCGAACGGGUGAGUAACACGUGAGUAACCUGCCCUUGACUUUGGGAUAACUUCAGGAAACUGGGGCUAAUACCGGAUAGGAGCUCCUGCUGCAUGGUGGGGGUUGGAAAGUUUCGGCGGUUGGGGAUGGACUCGCGGCUUAUCAGCUUGUUGGUGUGGUAGUGGCUUACCAAGGCUUUGACGGGUAGCCGGCCUGAGAGGGUGACCGGCCACAUUGGGACUGAGAUACGGACCAGACGCCUACGGGAGGCAGCAGUGGGGAAUAUUGCACAAUGGGCGGAAGCCUGAUGCAGCAACGCCGCGUGCGGGAUGACGGCCUUCGGGUGGUAAACCGCUUUCGCCUGUGACGAAGCGUGAGUGACGGUAAUGGGUAAAGAAGCACCGGCUAACUACGUG